CCUAUGGGGUGCAGCAGGCGCGAAAACUUUACAAUGCGGGAAACCGUGAUAAGGGAACUCCGAGUGUCCGUAAAUUCGGACUGUCCGUAUGUUUAAAAAGCAUACGAAGAAAGGGCCGGGCAAGACCGGUGCCAGCCGCCGCGGUAAUACCGGCGGCUCGAGUGGUGGCCACUAUUACUGGGCUUAAAGCGUUCGUAGCUUGGUUGUUAAGUCUCUUGGGAAAUCUAUCGGCUUAACCGAUAGGCGUCCAGGGGAUACUGGCAAUCUAGGGACCGGGAGAGGUGAGGGGUACUUCAGGGGUAGGAGUGAAAUCCUGUAAUCCUUGGGGGACCACCUGUGGCGAAGGCGCCUCACCAGAACGGCUCCGACAGUGAGGGACGAAAGCUGGGGGAGCAAACCGGAUUAGAUACCCCCGUAGUCC
rnacentral:rRNA from 1 species